rnacentral:rRNA from 1 species
GGAAAGGCGCGCGAUACAGGGUGACAGCCCCGUACACAAAAAUGCACAUGCUGUGAGCUCGAUGAGUAGGGCGGGACACGUGGUAUCCUGUCUGAAUAUGGGGGGACCAUCCUCCAAGGCUAAAUACUCCUGACUGACCGAUAGUGAACCAGUACCGUGAGGGAAAGGCGAAAAGAACCCCGGCGAGGGGAGUGAAAAAGAACCUGAAACCGUGUACGUACAAGCAGUGGGAGCACGCUUAGGCGUGUGACUGCGUACCUUUUGUAUAAUGGGUCAGCGACUUAUAUUCUGUAGCAAGGUUAACCGAAUAGGGGAGCCGAAGGGAAACCGAGUCUUAACUGGGCGUUAAGUUGCAGGGUAUAGACCCGAAACCCGGUGAUCUAGCCAUGGGCAGGUUGAAGGUUGGGUAACACUAACUGGAGGACCGAACCGACUAAUGUUGAAAAAUUAGCGGAUGACUUGUGGCUGGGGGUGAAAGGCCAAUCAAACCGGGAGAUAGCUGGUUCUCCCCGAAAGCUAUUUAGGUAGCGCCUCGUGAAUUCAUCUCCGGGGGUAGAGCACUGUUUCGGCAAGGGGGUCAUCCCGACUUACCAACCCGAUGCAAACUGCGAAUACCGGAGAAUGUUAUCACGGGAGACACACGGCGGGUGCUAACGUCCGUCGUGAAGAGGGAAACAACCCAGACCGCCAGCUAAGGUCCCA